UACAGAGGUGGCAAGCGUUGUUCGGAAUUACUGGGCGUAAAGGGUGCGUAGGUGGUGCUGUAAGUCAGGUGUGAAAUCUCGGGGCUCAACCCCGAAACUGCACUUGAUACUGCAGUGCUCGAGGACUGGAGAGGAGAUUGGAAUUCAUGGUGUAGCAGUGAAAUGCGUAGAUAUCAUGAGGAAGACCAGUGGCGAAGGCGGAUCUCUGGACAGUUCCUGACACUGAGGCACGAAGGCCAGGGGAGCAAACAGG
rnacentral:rRNA from 1 species